rnacentral:rRNA from 1 species
GUAGGGAAUAUUGCGCAAUGGGGGAAACCCUGACGCAGCGACGCCGCGUGAGUGAUGAAGGCCUUCGGGUCGUAAAGCUCUGUUGCAGGGGAAUAAAAAAAUGAAGGUACCCUGUGAGGAAGGAUCGGCUAACUUCGUGCCAGCAGCCGCGGUAAGACGAGGGAUCCUAGCGUUGCUCGGAAUCAUUGGGCGUAAAGAGGGCGUAGGUGGCUUGGUAAGUCAGGUGUGAAAGCCCAGGGCUCAACCCUGGAAGUGCAUUUGAUACUGCUGAGCUUGAGGGUCGGAGAGGUUACCGGAAUACCUGGUGUAGUGGUGAAAUACGUAUAUAUCAGGUGGAACACCGGAGGCGAAGGCGGGUAACUGGACGAACACUGACACUGAGGCCCGAAAGCGUGGGGAUCAAACAGGAUUAGAUACCCGAGUAGUCC